rnacentral:lncRNA from 1 species
GCAACCGUUUUUUUUUUAUUUUUUCUUUUAUGCUCUUUUGCACUCUCAUCUUGCCUGUUGUCAGUGUACUUCUGUUUUCUGCAGGCCUGCAAUGUGUAAAAUAACUGCAUUAUCUCUCUUUUUAAUAUGCUGCCUGAAAUGACCAAGGCUAAAAUUUAAGGAAAGUCCGUCAGCCAGUGUUUCAUUGCAAAACAAACUGGACAGAAGUAUAAU